GGCAGGGUAGCUCAGUUGGUAAGAGCACAGGAUUCAUAAACCUGAGGUCGUGGGUUCAAUUCCCACCCCUGCUA
rnacentral:tRNA from 1 species